rnacentral:misc_RNA from 1 species
GUAGGAGUGAGCCUGCUCGCGAUAGCGGUAUGCCAGACAAAAUAAUGUCGACUUGUCUACCGCUAUCGCGAGCAGGCUCACUCCUAC